rnacentral:lncRNA from 1 species
UUACUUUGACUUAUGGAGUUUCUAACUGGUUGAGAAACAGAUUAUAACUAGCACUAAUGCCGCUUUGUGUCCUUCAAAAAUAAACAAAUUCAUCAGAAACAAGUCUAAUUUAGUCAUUUUAUUGCUAAAGUGGCCUAAAAAAAGCCUUUUUAGACUUUAUACACAACAAGAUGUGUUAUGUGUCUGAGAAUUGUUAUUCAUAUGCGCAGGGUGAUAGAUAAGAGGUAUCACGUUGUCCACAGGGGGGCGCCAAAAAUCACCACAAACUAAAAGUUCCUCACAGCAGCUUUAAGAAGUUGGAAACUUCUGUCACGUCUUUUCUCAAUCUCAACUAUGUUUGCAAGCUUGUCCAGCUACGCAGGCAGAAUAAAGUUGGUUGGAGAAACUUUAUUUGAUUAUUUACUGCUAGAAAUUUAAAAAAGCUGCUUGCUGAGCCAAAAAAACAAAAAAACAAUGAGUUAAAAAAAUGCUAAAAUACUUUGUGACAGCAGAGAAACAGCAAAAUACAUGGACUACUCUCUAUCAGUAUAAUCAGCACCAUGAGACAUAUCACACAAAAGUAGUGAUAUGAUCCAAAAUUAUGAUUUUUUUUUAAGUGUUUAUCAGUUUUAAGUUUCUGGCAGCAGGUUAAAGUUAAAAAUCUGAGAUAACAGAAAAUUAAGCAACAAAAUCAGUGUUUUCCUCGCGGCAUUUUGAAUCGUGUUUAAUCAGAGCAGGUCGAGGUCAGCUCUAAUUUACCAAUGUGGCUGAGUUAGUUUAGUGUUGCUGACUCUUGCCCAACAGUGUGUGUGUAUGAGUGUAUUUCUGGAUGUGUGUUUGUGUGAAGGCCGGUCCAGUGGCCGUCUGGGUAGCACAUGGCUGUCCGAUACAUGGUCUCUGCUCCCUGUACUCUCCUCAUUAGCCUCACACAGCGCAGCCAUUCCCCUCUCUCACCCCCACCUCCUCUCCCUCUCUACCUUCCACUCACAGUUACACACACAAGGGGAAGAGCGAAUCUUUUGUUUUCUGUGUCCGACCUGGGUUCCAGCCCUCCUCCUCCUCCUCCUCCUUCUCCUCUCCUUCACCGACUAAAUCUCUUUUCCGGCUUGAUACUGCUGAAAACCAUAUGGUGUGUGACAUCAUCAGGGCAGGAAGCAGUCGAGAGGGGAAUGGUAGAGAGCCGGAGAGAGAUUGGCUUGCCAGGUUUCUGUGCAGUGAUGUCAGCAGAAAAGCACUCUGGGAGGCCCUUUGGGGGGGUGAGAGCAGAGCAGGUUGGAAACUUUAUCUCUUUUUUUUUUUAUUUCACUCCCACCUGGAUAAUCAGCAGCUGAAGAAGUGCAUGUAUAGAGGCAACAUUUACCUCAGAGGUGAUUUUUAUAACUCGUAGGGUCAUGAACUUGUUGCUUUAGUGUGUCAGCUCUACAUCCAUGUGCAGGUGCUGCGGGAUCAAUCCCAAAAAAUGUCCAUUUCCGAUUGUUCCUGUGAUGCUUAAAACUUCUGCAGAUCAUCUAACUACUUCUUCCUGGCAGUCCCAAUCUGCUCACCAGGCUUUAUGUCUGUCAUAACCCUCCCUGCCUCCCUCCUCCUUUUGUUCUCUGGGUGAACUCUCCAGCUUUGUUGUGCGAUCCUGGUCUCCAUACCAUCACCAGAGACCCAAUCCAGCUCUCUAUCAGCACACACAGACACACACAUAAACACUCAGUCCGCCACUCACAAAGUCAGCAUCUUUCUCCUUCGCACACAAACACACAUGCACUGAAAUACCCUCACUGAUUAAUGGCAGAGCUGGGGAGAGUGCCAGGCAAGGAGGGGAGGCAUUAGAAGAGGGGAAAAGAGAGGAGAGGAAGGAGGAGAGGCUGCUGCAGCUGUGGUUUUGGAGUCGGUCUCUGCGCCCCCUUGCUGCCCCCUCUCUCCAUCUCCUCUCCAGCUCCUCCAGGGACACACGCCUUGGCCAGGCCCCAGGAACCAGGGAGUCAGGACCAGGCUAAAGGGGGAGAAAAAGGGGGAACAAGAGAGGGAGGGAAAGAUAUCACAAAAGAAAGAGAAAAACAGAGCUGACCUAAUGCGAAAGUAUUGUCAGGCAGCACCUACAUAAACAGGAGAGUGCAUGAGAUGUUCCUCAAAGGUUUUCACGGGCAGAGCGGUACAAAGCAUCAGAUUUCCAAAAACACUUGAGCCCGUUUAAGUUUGUUUUAGUAUUUGAUACUGGUGCUGUCAUUUGGUUUUAUAUUGCUAAGAAAUCAGGACUCGGUUUUAUUUUGGUUGGAAAAACAUUUCUUCUAGUUAAGAAUCUUACAUAAUGCUUGAGUGGGUGAAAAAGUUCUUUUAUAUCUGUUUAAAGUUUUCGGAAAGCAAUCAAUUCAUCAAAUGCCCUAAAAAGGGAUAAAAAGAGUAGAUAUGAGUGUUGUAGGCCUGUUUGAGCCAGUCAGUUCCAUUUUUGUUCAUUGGUUCAUUAUUGCAUGACGUACCUGCAAACACACUUACUAUAGACCUGCAAGAAGAGCGCGGCUUAUGGCGCAUUCUUCUACAUGCUAAAACUGACAAGCUUGUUGCGUACUAAUCAUAUGCAAUAAAUCCUGCAUGAAAGUGUAGACCUUGCAGAUCUUGACUGUACUCAGGAAGGGAAAAAACAUAAUAUGCUGUAAAGCAACAUGAGAGCUCUUUUGUGGUGAUCAUUCAUAUUACUUAUACUUAUUUUUCAGAUUUUUGGUUGGACUAUAAACAAAGGCGAUGAUCAGAAAUCAAAGUCUUGGUGGAGUGUCUUUAAUCACUGAGCACAGGCUGUACCAGAAGCCCUCAACCGUUGCCCACGAUCAGAGAGCCAGUCAUCCAACCACAGCUGAUGGGAUCCGAGUGUUUUUCGCUCAAGAAUGGCAAAGUAAGUUCCCAUUCUUGCAUCGCUCUGUGUCAUUUACCUACUUUGUCAUAUCGUAAUUGUUAUUUUCAAAAAAUGUGCUUUGCCGAAUUUUAUAGUCUUGUAUGAAUUUGCAUAGUAUCCUAUGUAUCCUAUCAUAUGUUGUCAUUUUAUGUUGUUUAUGAUAUAUCUAACUGUAUUUUACAGUACCAUGAUUGUUCUUUCCUGUAUUGUACCUUACCACACCUUUUAUUUAAGUAUCUAUAUCUUCAUCUUAUUGCGUCGUUCAGUGUCAUUUAUCUAUUUGUCAUAACGUAAUUGUUUUUUCCAAUAAUGUGCUUUGCCAAAUUUUAUAGUCUUGUUUCACUUUGUAUCGUAUCGUAUCAUAUCAUAUCGCAUCGUAUCAUAUCAUAUCACAUUGUAUCGUAUCAUAUCAGAUCGUAUUGUAUUGCAUUGUAUCAUAUCGUAUCGUAACAUAUUGUAUCGUAUCGUGUUGUAGUGUAUUGUAUUGUAUUGUAUUGUAUUGUAUUGUAUUGUAUCUUUUCGUGUCAUUUUGUGUGGUUAAUGACAUAUUCUGCUUUUUUUUUACAGUACCAUGACUGUUCUAUCCUGUAUUGUUCCUUAUCACAUCUUAUGGUCUUAUCUCUUAUGGUAUAUCUCUUUGUAUCAUAUUAUAUUGUAUUGUUUCCAAAGUCCCUUAUCACUUUUUAAAAAAGGAUUAGGAGUGCAGAUGAUGAAACGGAAAAUGACUAAUUUCACAGAUAAGACUCAGAUAAGAGAGAUUAUGAAUGAAAAAUGAAACCGCACAGAAGAUGUGAUCUUUGUCAUGGUUGGUGGUUUUUUUUGCUAAGGCUCAUUUUAAUGAAACAUGAGAUAGGCUUAUUAUGCUAACUGUGAUGUGUUAACCUGUGGUUUUAAUGGUAGCCUGACUUUAUUCAGGAUGUUUAGCUUCCUUGUGCAUGCUGGAACCCAAAGUGUGAUCUGGCCGCUCACCCCCACUGCCCUGCACUCCUGGGUAAGUGUGCAUUUGAGGCCCUCUCUCUCUCGCUCUCUCUCUCUCUGUUUCCCCCUCUACUCUCAGUGUUUUAUGGGCUGUGUGCUGCGGUGCAGUGACCUCCCUCUCACCCCGGUGCCACCCAGCCGGUGCAGGAUUCAGGCGUGCACAGCCCCUGCCAAAACCCCAUAGCGCCACAUCUGCAAUCUAUAAACGCCAGCCACUCUCGCUCUCCUGCUCCCUCGCCCACACCGCCUCUGACUCUCACACUCCUCCAUUUCACUCUCUCUCCCUCUCUCACCCUCUAACUUUUUAUUAUAAUAUCCAAAUUCUAUGCGUCCCCCUUUUCUUUUGCAUUCCUUUGACUCCUUCCUCCCACCACUUCUGGUUUCUAUUCAACAUCGACUGGCUCUUCUCUUAUCUCUUACUGCCCUCUUUUUCUCCUCCUUCCGUUUCUACAUCCACAUCCAACGGAAAAAUCUCUCACCCAUUAUAUCUUCACUGGAAGCCAGCUAAGUGUGGUGGCAGAGAACUGGGAACCACAAGACAUUCCUGAUCCAAACAGCACUAAGUCACCAGCGUUCACGUCCUGUGACGCUGCCAAACACACACUUCACUUAUGGGCUGGAUGCAGCUUUACCACGUCGCAGUUGUAGUCCCCAAACAGCUCAAUGUUUAUCUGUUUCAAAUUGAUAGUGUCAGGGAAAAAUGCAUCCAAACGCAGAGCCAUUUUUUGUCCAUGUGUUACUUUAAGCAUUCUCCAUCAAGGGGGUAUUGAAUUCCCCCUCCCCUUGCCAUGAACUGUUGGCCAGCAGAGCACACACACCCCUCCCCUCAGCUUUAACAAGAUGUGUUCAACACAUCACUGUAACUGUGCCCUUGCUUUUACACGUAAAAAAAAAAAGUAGGAAAGAAGGAAAUAAAUUGAGUGUUACCACAAAGCUGUCCAGAGCUCCCAGCUUGCCCCCCAUGGGCAAUAAAGACAUUAGUCUUUUUCAAUUGUAUUAUCUUUUUUUUUUUCUUCUUCUUCAGUUCUUUCCACUGUAAUCAAAUAAAAAUGCACAGAGUGAACUUUUGCUCCCCUCUGCUUCUUGGAUCAUGUUCUCCUCUCCAUCCCAAAGUCUUCACCUUCUGCUUUCCCAGACAUAUUGGCAUGCCUCUGCGCUGGAGUCCCAACACAGCCCGAGGAUGAAUCAUGUUGCUGCGAGCGUACAAGAGCGCUGUUUUAUGAUAAAUAUUGCAAUUCAUAAAUCUGUAUUUUCCAGAGUAAGAAAGCACGGGGCAUGAGAGGACGCACGUCAGAGGAGCGAUUUAGCCUCGGUCGAUGUUCUGACUGGAGGGAGUGUGUGCGUAGUCUGGAGCUGACAAGAAGGCCUCAGGUCGGGGCAAGACCACCUUUGGAGGGGCAUAUUCUGCUGGUAGUGGGUGAAGUAGAUAAAUCCUCAUACUUUUGGUUGUUAUUUGAUUUUUGGCGCACAUCUUGUAGAAUCUAUCACCUGAUAACACAUAACAGGAAAGUGUAGAUAGCAAGUGUAAAUGGAAAUUCCUGCUUUCUUCGCUCACUCAACCUCACACUGAUGCCAUUCAGCCUGAAAUAGCUGGAAUGAGUUCGGAGGAGGUGUUUCAGACUGUUUUAUUUUAUCCGAGACUGGUGAUUCAUUAAAUUUUGAUAGUUCACUGAGGCAGAUUCAUGAAAAAGAUGACAUAAAUAAACCUGACUGCUGCUGUGAGUGACAAUCUUCGAGGCUAUGAGUCAUUUAAUGAGAAAUUAUGACGAAUCCUCUGAGAAAUUUGGACCUUUUUCAUGAUUUAGCUUCCUCUGGAUCUGAAUAGUAGUCUGUUUUUUUGUGUUUUUUUAAUGAGGCUACAGACAGGCUUUGAGACGUAUGUUGUAGAGGUAUAAUGUGAUCGUUUCAC